CUUGAAGCAAUGUAAUGUGAUUUACAGGGAAGGCAUACACUGAGGGAAAGUCGGUUAAGCAGUUCCGGGUAGGCUUAACUUCCCUAGCUUCCUUUCAUAUUUACUAAUACCCGUAUCUUAUCAAACACGCUCCUGAGUAAAUGGCUGGACUGAGGUUUUACUAAGUUUCUGGGCAAGAAUCCAUGUCAAAUGAAGUGCUGCAUUCCUUUGUGAUGGAUUUCUGCAUGCACCGCUAGUGAAAUCCUGAAAAGGCCAGUUGAACGGAUGGACCACAUUCUUUAUGUUCAAGGUAAAGGCUGCCUGGGUUCAUCACACACGGUGGAACUCUUGAUUUGGUUUGAACUUGCUUUUGAGCCAAAUACUAGUCCCACACACAUACAAGAAAGACAAACACUACCAAGGGAUUUAUUUUCCACAAGAAGCUGUGCAUUACCAGCCAAAGAAAACAAACACCCCAAGAAAAAGAAGGCUCUCCUGAUGCAAUUAGAAUUUACUCAACAUUCUGUUUCUCCCUCUCUUAGAGAACAAUGAAAAACAGUUCGGUGGUUAAAGUUCAGUCUAUGACUAAAAGGAUUUUCUGUGGAAUUUCUUGACUUCUCUUUCAGCACACUUUAGAACAAUAAGCGAAUGACUUACCAGGAAAUAAAACACAGGACCUCAGAUGAGUGGGCGUUCUCCAUAGCAAACCCUGCCCACUUAACAGUUUUGCCAAGAUAUGGUCCAGAUACAGGUCCUUACCUCUGGUUUGGCUUUCACAGUGAAGCCAAACCAGGACAGCUUGUUACACAGAGUCUGGAAAGCAGCCCUUCAUGUUGGGAUUCUGGAAUUGUGUCACUGACGAGUCAGAUUUCCAUAAGGAAAACAUACUUGGUUCUUUGCAUUAUUGGUAACCAUGUCUGCUGUGCUUUGGAAUAA
ensembl:lincRNA